GGCGAGUGAAGCGGCAAAAGCUCAAAUUUGAAACCCUCGGGAUUGUAAUUUGAAGAUUUGGCAUUGGAGAAAGCUAACCCAAGUUGCUUGGAAUAGUACGUCAUAGAGGGUGACAACCCCGUCUGGCUAACCGUUCUCCAUGUAUUGCCUUAUCAAAGAGUCGAGUUGUUUGGGAAUGCAGCUCAAAGUGGGUGGUAAACUCCAUCUAAAGCUAAAUACUGGUGAGAGACCGAUAGCGAACAAGUACUGUGAAGGAAAGGUGAAAAGAACUUUGAAAAGAGAGUGAAAUAGUAUGUGAAAUUGUUGAUAGGGAAGGAAAUGAGUGGAGAGUGGCCGAGGUUUCAGCCGCCCCUCGUGGGCGGUGUACUGCCGACGCCGAGUCAUCGAUAGCGAGACGAGGGUUACAAAUGGGAGCGCCUUCGGGCGUUCUCCCCUAACCCUCCACACUGCCACCGACGACAUAAUCCACCCAUUUCACCCGUCUUGAAACACGGACCA
rnacentral:rRNA from 1 species